CUGGAUGAGUUGCGAACGGGUGAGUAACGCGUAGGUAACCUGCCUGGUAGCGGGGGAUAACUAUUGGAAACGAUAGCUAAUACCGCAUAAUAGUAGAUAUCGCAUGAUAACUGCUUAAAAGGUGCAAUUGCACCACUACCAGAUGGACCUGCGUUGUAUUAGCUAGUUGGUGAGGUAACGGCUCACCAAGGCGACGAUACAUAGCCGACCUGAGAGGGUGAUCGGCCACACUGGGACUGAGACACGGCCCAGACUCCUACGGGAGGCAGCAGUAGGGAAUCUUCGGCAAUGGACGGAAGUCUGACCGAGCAACGCCGCGUGAGUGAAGAAGGUUUUCGGAUCGUAAAGCUCUGUUGUAAGAGAAGAACGAGUGUGAGAGUGGAAAGUUCACACUGUGACGGUAUCUUACCAGAAAGGGACGGC
rnacentral:rRNA from 1 species